GAAUGCUGACAUAAGUAACGAUAAAGCGGGUGAAAAGCCCGCUCGCCGGAAGACCAAGGGUUCCUGUCCAACGUUAAUCGGGGCAGGGUGAGUCGACCCCUAAGGCGAGGCCGAAAGGCGUAGUCGAUGGGAAACGGGUUAAUAUUCCCGUACUUGGUGUUACUGCGAAGGGGGGACGGAGAAGGCUAUGUUGGCCGGGCGACGGUUGUCCCGGUUUAAGCGUGUAGGUGUGUGUUCCAGGUAAAUCCGGUUCACUUUAACACUGAGGCGUGACGACGAGGCACUACGGUGCUGAAGCAACAAAUGCCCUGCUUCCAGGAAAAGCCUCUAAGCAUCAGGUAACAUCAAAUCGUACCCCAAACCGACACAGGUGGUCAGGUAGAGAAUACCAAGGCGCUUGAGAGAACUCGGGUGAAGGAACUAGGCAAAAUGGUGCCGUAACUUCGGGAGAAGGCACGCUGACACGUAGGUGAAGUGAUUUACUCAUGGAGCUGAAGUCAGUCGAAGAUACCAGCUGGCUGCAACUGUUUAUUAAAAACACAGCACUGUGCAAACACGAAAGUGGACGUAUACGGUGUGACGCCUGCCCGGUGCCGGAAGGUUAAUUGAUGGGGUCAGCGCAAGCGAAGCUCCUGAU
rnacentral:rRNA from 1 species